rnacentral:ncRNA from 15 species
AACAAGGUUUGGCUCGAUCGUGGAUCCUUUCGCGGUUGAAACUACCGAAGCCUUAGCUGCCCGAAAGGGUGACCUCCGCGACUCGCAAAACAAGGAGAGGUCUCAAAAGCUAGUGGCUCCUAGCUGCUGCUCGUGCAGUGAGUGCGACAUCACCAAAUUGCGGGAAAUCCCUAAAGCUUUGACUACCAAGUGCGGCGCCGAAAGGCUCGCAUGGCCAGGGUAAUGACCUCGGGUAUGGUAACAACGUCAAAGAUGCAACAAUGGGCUAUCCGCAGCCAAGUCCUCGCCGCUUCGCAGCGGUUGGAUGCUGUUCACAGACUAGAUGGUGGUGGGUUCUCGGAUGCGUCCCGGGGCUUAAGAUAUAGUCGGGCCUGCUUGGAAACAGCGGGAAAUCGCAGAUGCAUUCACCGUUCCGUAGGUGAACCUGCAGAAGGAUCAA